GGACAAAAUAGUGAGCAUUUGUUUCAACUGACCCCAACAGCUGAAAGCAGAAUAAAUGGACAUUGAAUAGACCCUACACUUGACGGAUCAGCUGGCACCACCCAGACGGAUAAACUGGCUCAUCCUGUCUUGUGGCCCCCACCCAGGAACUGACUCAGCGCAGGAGGACAGUUUCAACUCGCUGUGAUUUCAUCUCUGACCUGACCAAUCAGCAGCUCCCCACUCUCCAACCCCCUACCCACCAAAUUAUCCUUAAAAACCCUGAUUCCCGAGUUUUCAGGGAGACUGAUUUGAGUACUAAUAAAAUUCCAGUCUCCCAUACAGCCGGCUCUGCGUGAAUUAAACUCUUUCUUUAUUGCAAUUCCCCUGUCUUGAUAAAUUGGCUCUGUCUCAGCAGCGGGCAAGGUGAACCUGUUGGGCAGUUACCUUAUUUGUUAAAUGCCAUACGAAGUUCCUUGCAGUAUGUGCAUAUUCGGCCUCCUGGCUCUGAUAAAAGGAGACAUAUACAUGGGUUAUUCUAAAAGAUACUAAUUCCACACAUCACCAGAAGAAAAUUAUUUUGAUGGCGAAACUUUUCUACUUACCUAUAACCUUCUAAGGAGGAUGUGCCUUAAUGAGAAACCUUGUUUUGCUGAGUGAGGUAAAGGGAAGGAGGAUAUAAUUUUGGAGCAAGGAGAGAACUAAAUUGUUUUGCAUUAGAAAAGAGAUAUGGGGGAGGAGAAAGGCUAGAGGGGUUUUCAACCUUAAUUUCCCAUUAGAAUCUCCUGGGGAGUUUUUAAAACUAGGAAACCUGAGUUUCACUUUCAGCAAUUCAGAUUCUAUUAGUCUGGAUGGGCCCCACCUGGGUAUUUUUGAGAACCAGUGGUAAGCAGAGAGGAGGACUUGGUGGUUGGUGUUUUCUAGUGAAACUGCUGUGCCAUAUAACAUCUGUCUUUCUAGAAUAUGCCUCAGAAAUCUAGACUAAUCAUUAACACUUUGGAAAUUUGAUUUCUUUCUUUCUUUUUUUUUUUUUUUUUAAAUGGAGUGAAGUAUCAUGUUUGGCCUCAAAGUGGCUGUGGAGGGCAGAGUGUGCUCAUGGUCUUGGUGGUACUGGGGCAAAACAUAUUUUACAGCUGCAAAGAAGCAAAGGGCAGAGAAGUUUCAGAAGCUCACAAGUGAAUGUAUUAGCAGUCUUGUAUGUUUUAUUGCUUCUAUCAAAUAAAAAAAUCUUUUGAGGUACAGAAGGUUUUUUCUUGGUGGCAUACAAGUAUAGCACUCACAUUCUAAACAAGGCAUUCUAAAUAAAAUGAAAUAAAAUAAAACACAGCAAAGCCAACAUCAACAGAAGAUUACCCUUUCUCUUUGACUCAUACUUUGUCUUAGACAUUAUAUGAUUCAAGGGAUGAAUGCGUGGUUUGUAAAUUUCCCAGACCUUUGUUUCUCUGGACUUGAGAUAUGUCACUGCCCUUCUGCAGAAAGUGGAGAUGUAGUGACAAGCAAUGGAAGAAAAAAGGAUUCCUAGACUAGUAUAAGACAGCCCUCCUCUACUCCCAUUGGUCUUAUAGGUGAGGGAUCCUUCAGCUUUUUUUUGUGUGUGUGUAUGUGUGUGACGGAGUUUCUCUCUCGUUGCCCAGGCUGGAGUGCAAUGGCGUGAUCUCUGCCCACCGCGACCUCUGUCUGCUGGGUUCAAGUGAUUCUCCUGCCUCAGCCUCCCGAGUAGCUGGGACCGCAGCCUGGCUAAUUUUUUGUAUUUUUAUUAGAGACAGGGUUUCACCAUGUUGGUCAGGUUGGUCUCGAACUCCUGACCUCAGGUGAUCCACCCGCCUUAGCCUCCCAAAGUGCUAGGAUUACAGACGUGAGCCACCGUGCCCCACUGAUCCUUCAGCUUUUUUUUUUUAAUUAAUUUUUUUUUUGAGAUGGAGUUUCUCUCUUGUUGUCCAGGCCGGAGUGCAAUGGCGCAAUCUAGGCUCACUGCAAUCUCCACCUCCUGGGUUCAAGCAAUUCUCCUGCCUCAGCCUCCCAAGUGGUUGGGAUUACAGGCAUGCACCACCACGCCUGGCUAAUUUUUUGUAUUUAGUAGAGAUGAGCUUUCACCAGGUUGGUCAGGCUGGUCUGGAACUCCUGACCUCGU
rnacentral:lncRNA from 1 species